rnacentral:rRNA from 1 species
GGGUUGUGAGGUUAAGCGACUAAGCGUACACGGUGGAUGCCCUGGCAGUCAGAGGCGAUGAAGGACGUGCUAAUCUGCGAUAAGCGUCGGUAAGGUGAUAUGAACCGUUAUAACCGGCGAUUUCCGAAUGGGGAAACCCAGUGUGUUUCGACACACUAUCAUUAACUGAAUCCAUAGGUUAAUGAGGCGAACCGGGGGAACUGAAACAUCUAAGUACCCCGAGGAAAAGAAAUCAACCGAGAUUCCCCCAGUAGCGGCGAGCGAACGGGGAGCAGCCCAGAGCCUGAAUCAGUGUGUGUGUUAGUGGAAGCGUCUGGAAAGGCGCGCGAUACAGGGUGACAGCCCCGUACACAAAAAUGCACAUGCUGUGAGCUCGAUGAGUAGGGCGGGACACGUGGUAUCCUGUCUGAAUAUGGGGGGACCAUCCUCCAAGGCUAAAUACUCCUGACUGACCGAUAGUGAACCAGUACCGUGAGGGAAAGGCGAAAAGAACCCCGGCGAGGGGAGUGAAAAAGAACCUGAAACCGUGUACGUACAAGCAGUGGGAGCACGCUUAGGCGUGUGACUGCGUACCUUUUGUAUAAUGGGUCAGCGACUUAUAUUCUGUAGCAAGGUUAACCGAAUAGGGGAGCCGAAGGGAAACCGAGUCUUAACUGGGCGUUAAGUUGCAGGGUAUAGACCCGAAACCCGGUGAUCUAGCCAUGGGCAGGUUGAAGGUUGGGUAACACUAACUGGAGGACCGAACCGACUAAUGUUGAAAAAUUAGCGGAUGACUUGUGGCUGGGGGUGAAAGGCCAAUCAAACCGGGAGAUAGCUGGUUCUCCCCGAAAGCUAUUUAGGUAGCGCCUCGUGAAUUCAUCUCCGGGGGUAGAGCACUGUUUCGGCAAGGGGGUCAUCCCGACUUACCAACCCGAUGCAAACUGCGAAUACCGGAGAAUGUUAUCACGGGAGACACACGGCGGGUGCUAACGUCCGUCGUGAAGAGGGAAACAACCCAGACCGCCAGCUAAGGUCCCAAAGUCAUGGUUAAGUGGGAAACGAUGUGGGAAGGCCCAGACAGCCGUGAUGUUGGCUUAGAAGCAGCCAUCAUUUAAAGAAAGCGUAAUAGCUCACUGGUCGAGUCGGCCUGCGCGGAAGAUGUAACGGGGCUAAACCAUGCACCGAAGCUGCGGCAGCGACGCUUAUGCGUUGUUGGGUAGGGGAGCGUUCUGUAAGCCUGUGAAGGUGUGCUGUGAGGCAUGCUGGAGGUAUCAGAAGUGCGAAUGCUGACAUAAGUAACGAUAAAGCGGGUGAAAAGCCCGCUCGCCGGAAGACCAAGGGUUCCUGUCCAACGUUAAUCGGGGCAGGGUGAGUCGACCCCUAAGGCGAGGCCGAAAGGCGUAGUCGAUGGGAAACAGGUUAAUAUUCCUGUACUUGGUGUUACUGCGAAGGGGGGACGGAGAAGGCUAUGUUGGCCGGGCGACGGUUGUCCCGGUUUAAGCGUGUAGGCUGGUUUUCCAGGCAAAUCCGGAAAAUCAAGGCUGAGGCGUGAUGACGAGGCACUACGGUGCUGAAGCAACAAAUGCCCUGCUUCCAGGAAAAGCCUCUAAGCAUCAGGUAACAUCAAAUCGUACCCCAAACCGACACAGGUGGUCAGGUAGAGAAUACCAAGGCGCUUGAGAGAACUCGGGUGAAGGAACUAGGCAAAAUGGUGCCGUAACUUCGGGAGAAGGCACGCUGAUAUGUAGGUGAAGUCCCUCGCGGAUGGAGCUGAAAUCAGUCGAAGAUACCAGCUGGCUGCAACUGUUUAUUAAAAACACAGCACUGUGCAAACACGAAAGUGGACGUAUACGGUGUGACGCCUGCCCGGUGCCGGAAGGUUAAUUGAUGGGGUUAGCGGUAACGCGAAGCUCUUGAUCGAAGCCCCGGUAAACGGCGGCCGUAACUAUAACGGUCCUAAGGUAGCGAAAUUCCUUGUCGGGUAAGUUCCGACCUGCACGAAUGGCGUAAUGAUGGCCAGGCUGUCUCCACCCGAGACUCAGUGAAAUUGAACUCGCUGUGAAGAUGCAGUGUACCCGCGGCAAGACGGAAAGACCCCGUGAACCUUUACUAUAGCUUGACACUGAACAUUGAGCCUUGAUGUGUAGGAUAGGUGGGAGGCUUAGAAGUGUGGACGCCAGUCUGCAUGGAGCCGACCUUGAAAUACCACCCUUUAAUGUUUGAUGUUCUAACGUUGACCCGUAAUCCGGGUUGCGGACAGUGUCUGGUGGGUAGUUUGACUGGGGCGGUCUCCUCCUAAAGAGUAACGGAGGAGCACGAAGGUUGGCUAAUCCUGGUCGGACAUCAGGAGGUUAGUGCAAUGGCAUAAGCCAGCUUGACUGCGAGCGUGACGGCGCGAGCAGGUGCGAAAGCAGGUCAUAGUGAUCCGGUGGUUCUGAAUGGAAGGGCCAUCGCUCAACGGAUAAAAGGUACUCCGGGGAUAACAGGCUGAUACCGCCCAAGAGUUCAUAUCGACGGCGGUGUUUGGCACCUCGAUGUCGGCUCAUCACAUCCUGGGGCUGAAGUAGGUCCCAAGGGUAUGGCUGUUCGCCAUUUAAAGUGGUACGCGAGCUGGGUUUAGAACGUCGUGAGACAGUUCGGUCCCUAUCUGCCGUGGGCGCUGGAGAACUGAGGGGGGCUGCUCCUAGUACGAGAGGACCGGAGUGGACGCAUCACUGGUGUUCGGGUUGUCAUGCCAAUGGCACUGCCCGGUAGCUAAAUGCGGAAGAGAUAAGUGCUGAAAGCAUCUAAGCACGAAACUUGCCCCGAGAUGAGUUCUCCCUGACUCCUUGAGAGUCCUGAAGGAACGUUGAAGACGACGACGUUGAUAGGCCGGGUGUGUAAGCGCAGCGAUGCGUUGAGCUAACCGGUACUAAUGAACCGUGAGGCUUAACCUUACAACGCCGAAG